rnacentral:rRNA from 1 species
UUUUUAUGUGGACCUCUGUCCUUGUGCCUUGUGUGCUUGGAUAGAACCACAUAAGCAGGUGAAACUUCUUAGAGGAACUGGCGCCCAAAAAGGCGCACGAGAAAGAGCAAUAACAGGUCUGUGAUGCCCUAAGAUGUCCGGGGCCGCACGCGUGCUACAAUGACGAUGCUACUGAGCAUGAUUAACUUGUCCGAAAGGACUGGUGAAACUGUUCAAUCAUCGUCGUGACUGGGAUUGGGGUUUGCAAUUGUCCCCCAUGAACCAGGAAUUCCUAGUAAGCACAAGUCAUAAGCUUGUGCUGAUUACGUCCCUGCCCUUUGUACACACCGCCCGUCGCUACUACCGAUUGAAUGGUUUAGCAAGGACAUUGGAUUGAGCCCUUGCGGUUUCGGCUGCUUGGGUUUGAGAAGAGGUCCAAACUUGAUCAUUUAGAGGAAGUAAAAGUCGUAACAAGGUUUCCGUAGGUGAACCUGCGGAAGGAUCAUUA